rnacentral:rRNA from 1 species
UACGUAGGGUGCAAGCGUUGUCCGGAAUUAUUGGGCGUAAAGAGUUCGUAGGCGGUCUGUCGCGUCGGCUGUGAAAACCCGGAGCUCAACUCCGGGCCUGCAGUCGAUACGGGCAGACUGGAGUUCGGCAGGGGAGACUGGAAUUCCUGGUGUAGCGGUGAAAUGCGCAGAUAUCAGGAGGAACACCGGUGGCGAAGGCGGGUCUCUGGGCCGAUACUGACGCUGAGGAGCGAAAGCGUGGGGAGCGAACAGG